UACGUAGGUGGCGAGCGUUAUCCGGAAUGAUUGGGCGUAAAGGGUGCGUAGGCGGCGCUUCAGGUCAGCGGUGAAAUACCGGGGCUCAACCCCGGGGCUGCCGUUGAAACCGGAGCGCUAGAAUUCCGAUGCCGUCGGAGGAAUGUGUGGUGUAGCGGUGAAAUGCAUAGAUAUCACGCAGAACUCCGAUUGCGAAGGCAGCAUACCGGUGCACAACUGACGCUCAGGCACGAAAGCGUGGGGAGCAAAUAGG
rnacentral:rRNA from 1 species